rnacentral:rRNA from 1 species
UACGUAGGGGGCAAGCGUUGUCCGGAAUCAUUGGGCGUAAAGCGCGUGUAGGCGGCCAGAAAAGUCCGCUGUGAAAACUCGAGGCUCAACUUCGAGCUGUCGGUGGAAACUAUUUGGCUAGAGUCCGGAAGAGGAGAGUGGAAUUCCUGGUGUAGCGGUGAAAUGCGCAGAUAUCAGGAAGAACACCCGUGGCGAAGGCGGCUCUCUGGUACGGAACUGACGCUGAGACGCGAAAGCGUGGGGAGCGAACAGG